rnacentral:rRNA from 1 species
UACGGAGGAUCCGAGCGUUAUCCGGAUUUAUUGGGUUUAAAGGGUGCGUAGGCGGUUUGAUAAGUUAGAGGUGAAAUGUCGGGGCUCAACCCCGAAACUGCCUCUAAUACUGUUGGACUAGAGAAUAGUUGCGGUAGGCGGAAUGUAUGGUGUAGCGGUGAAAUGCUUAGAUAUCACGAAGAACUCCGAUUGCGAAGGCAGCUCACUGGACUGCAACUGACACUGAGGCUCGAAAGUGUGGGUAUCAAACAGG